rnacentral:lncRNA from 10 species
GCUUUUGGGUGUUGGACAACCAUAGGCAAAACUGAAAUGGAACAGGGGCAGAAAAUAGCACACUUUUACUCUACGCAACUGUUGCUUUUUCAUGAUCUUCAGGAAUUUUACUGGGAUAAUUAUCCAAAUAAAUUGCAAGCAUUCUAUCCAAAUGGACAUCCAUAAAAAUUCAUCAGAGAGCAUUUUACUACUGAGCUGCAAAGGGAAAAACUUAAAAUGGAUAUGAAAAGUGAAGAAAGUGAUCAUAGGAGAAAACCAUUUCAGAUAUCUGUGGAUAUCUCUCCAGAACUUCAUGUAUAUGUGUCUGAUGAUUUGUGAGCCUCAAGUGACUACUCUGUGGAAUCAUCUGUCCUUGCCUUUGAAUUAGCUUUCCCUAGGCCAUGAGUCAACAUUAGUAGUUUAUACAUCCAAAUUGAUGACAAGAGCACCUCAAAGGCAGCAGCCUCAAGGAGCAGCCAUGGCCCCAGACUUGUCGCACGGAUGCAGAAAACUUAAUGGAGGAGGCUGAGCAAAACAGAGCGUGACACUCCCAAUCAUCUGCAUGCUGGAAAUGAGGAAAUGGUUAUUGAAUGAUACAAGUGCUUUUCGAUCAUUUAGAAAGUUCUGUUUCCCAAGAUCUUUUUUUUUUUUUUUUUU